CGUGUGCUACCAGCUUCUUUUGCCUUUUUAGCUGCCUCCAUAACAUCCUCUUUGGUCAUAAGUUUUUGUGCUUUAACUCCAGUGCUAUAUCGUGAAGACUGAGGACAAUACGAACAAUCCUCACUACACCCACCAGUCUUGAUAGAAAGGAGAGUACAUUGCUGCACUUCUCUGAAGUUUUGAGCAUGUCUAUGAACGUGAGCUCCAUGGAAAAGGAGAUCAAGAAGAGGUGAGUCGUAAACAUCCUUGAUUUCUUGACGGGUCCAAUCAUUUCUUGGACCCUCUCUGAUAGUUCUAUCAGCCUGAAUUGAAGCAGCUGAAGCUGAAGUUGAAGAUGAAUAUGAAGAAUGUAAUGAGAAAAGAGAGGAGGGUCUUAGUUGUUGUGGUCUAAAGAUUGAUCUAAUCGAAAACAUUUCCAGUUAGUGGUUUUCUUGGUAAAAUGUUGGGUUUCUUUCUGUUUCGUUAAAAACUAUGCCA
rnacentral:misc_RNA from 1 species